AUUGAACGCUGGCGGCAUGCUUUACACAUGCAAGUCGGACGAGUGGCGAACGGGUGAGUAAUAUAUUGGAACGUACCGAGUAAUGGGGGAUAACCAAUCGAAAGAUUGGCUAAUACCGCAUAUUAUUCGAGCGGCCCAUAUCUGAUUAGGUAGUUGGUGGGGUAAAGGCCUACCAAGGCGACGAUCAGUAGCGGGUGUGAGAGGAUGAUACGCCCCCCUGGGACUGAGACACGGCCCAAAAUCCUCCCCUCUUCCUCCUUUCUCCUUAUUUCAAUCUUUCCGCAAGCCUGAUCCAGCCAUGCCGCGUGUCUGAAAACUUCCUUCCGUUUUUCACGGACUUUUGUUAGGGAAGCGGUACCUGAAGAAGAAGCACCGGCUAACUACGUGCCAGCAGCCGCGGUAAUUC
rnacentral:rRNA from 1 species